UACGUAAGGGGCUAGCGUUGUCGGAAUUACUGGGCGUAAAGCGCGCGUAGGCGGUGAUCUUUGUCAGAGGUGAAAGCCUGGGGCUCAACUCCAGAAUUGCCUUUGAAACGGGAUCGCUUGAGUCCGAGAGAGGAUGGCGGAAUUCCUAGUGUAGAGGUGAAAUUCGUAGAUAUUAGGAAGAACACCGGUGGCGAAGGCGGCCAUCUGGCUCGGUACUGACGCUCAGGCGCGAAAGCAUGGGGAGCAAACAGG
rnacentral:rRNA from 1 species